AUUGAACGCUGGCGGCAGGCCUAACACAUGCAAGUCGAGCGGAUGAAGGGAGCUUGCUCCUGGAUUCAGCGGCGGACGGGUGAGUAAUGCCUAGGAAUCUGCCUGGUAGUUGGGGAUAACGUCCGUAAACGGGCGCUAAUACCGCAUACGUCCUGAUGGAGAAAGUGGGGGAUCUUCGGACCUCACGCUAUCAGAUGAGCCUAGGUCGGAUUAGCUAGUUGGUGGGGUAAAGGCCUACCAAGGCGACGAUCCGUAACUGGUCUGAGAGGAUGAUCAGUCACACUGGAACUGAGACACGGUCCAGACUCCUACGGGAGGCAGCAGUGGGGAAUAUUGGACAAUGGGCGAAAGCCUGAUCCAGCCAUGCCGCGUGUGUGAAGAAGGUCUUCGGAUUGUAAAGCACUUUAAGUUGGGAGGAAGGGCAGUAAGUUAAUACCUUGCUGUUUUGACGUUACCAACAGAAUAAGCACCGGCUAACUUCGUG
rnacentral:rRNA from 1 species